AGUGAAGGGAGUAGGGGCUAGGGAGUAGGGUGUAGGGAGCAGUGUAGGGAGUAAGGUGUCGGGGCUAUAAAGUAGGGUGUAGGGGCUAGGGUGUAGGGGGUAGGGGCUAGGGAGUAGGGGCUAGGGAGUAGGGUGUCGGGGCUAGAGAGUAGGGUGUAGGGGCUAGGGUGUAGGGAGUAGGGUGUAAGGAGUAGGGUGUAGGGCUAGGGUGUAGGGUGUAAGGAGUAGGGUGUAGGGCCUAGGGUGUAGGGUGUCGGGGCUAGGGUGUAGGGAGUAGAGGGGAUGGGUGUGCUGUAGGUCUGCCAGGACAGUAUAUAUAUAUAUAUAUUAAUAUGUAUGUUCAUCUACAUUAAUUUUUAUUUACAUAUACAAUAUCAGUACAUACUGAAUAUCACACAGAAGACAACCAGAGAUGCUCGAUGGAUGGAGAGAUGGAUGGAGAGAUGGAUGGAGGGAUGGAUGGAGAGAUGGAUGGAGAGAUGGAUGGAGGGAUGGAUGGAGAGAUGGAUGGAGAGAUG